ACAUGCAGUCGACGGUGGUAGCAAUACCAUAGUGGCGCAGGGGUGCGUAACACGUAACUAACCUACCUAUAACUGGGGGAUAGCCCGCCGAAAGGCGGAUUAAUACCGCAUAAGCUCUUUAGUUGGCAUCAACUCAUUAGUAAAGAUUUAUUGGUUAUAGAUGGGGUUGCGGGUCAUUAGCUAGUUGGUAAGGUAACGGCUUACCAAGGCGACGAUGACUAGGGGAGCUGAGAGGCUGGUCCCCCACACGGGCACUGAGAUACGGGCCCGACUCCUACGGGAGGCAGCAGUAGGGAAUAUUGGGCAAUGGGCGAGAGCCUGACCCAGCCAUGCCGCGUGCAGGAAGAAGGCUUUCUGAGUCGUAAACUGCUUUUGACAGGGAAGAAUAAGCUUCACGUGUAGAGUGAUGACGGUACUGCAGAUAGCACAGCUACUCGUGCAGCAGCGCGUAUACGAGGGUGCGAGCGUGUCUGAUUUAUGGUUUAAGGGUGCGUAGCGCCUGGUAAGUCCGGGUGAAAGCCCGUUGCUCACAGCGGAACUGCCUGGAUACUGACAGGCUUGAGUACAGACGAGGUUGGCGGAAUGGACAGAGUAGCGGUGAAAUGCAUAGAUACUGUCCAGAACCCCGAUUGCGAAGGCAGCUGACUAGGCUGUUACUGACGCUGAGGCACGACAGCGUGGGGAGCGAACAGGAUUAGAUACCCUGGUAGUCCACGCCGUAAACGAUGGAUACUCGCUGCGAGCUAAAGAUUGUUCGUGGCUUAGGGAAACCGAUAAGUAUCCCACCUGGGGAGUACGCCGGCAACGGUGAAACUCAAAGGAAUUGACGGGGGCCCGCACAAGUGGUGGAGCAUGUGGUUUAAUUCGAUGAUACGCGAGGAACCUUACCUAGGCUAGAAUGCGCGUGACCGGCUCAGAGAUGAGCCUUUCCUUCGGGACACAAAGCAAGGUGCUGCAUGGCCGUCGUCAGCUCGUGCCGUGAGGUGUUGGGUUAAGUCCCGCAACGAGCGCAACCCCUAUGUUUAGUUGCCAGCAUGUAAUGAUGGGGACUCUAGACAGACUGCCUGCGCAAGCAGUGAGGAAGGCGGGGACGACGUCGGGUCAUCGUGGCCCUUACGCCUAGGGCGACGCACGUGCUACGAUGGACGGUACGGCGGGUAGCUACACAGCGAUGAGAUGCCGAUCUCGAAAAGCCGUUCUCGGUUCGGAUUGGAGUCUGCGGACUCGACUCCAUGAAGCUGGAAUCACUAGUAAUCGCGCAUCUGCCGUGGCGCGGUGAAUACGUUCCCGGGCCUUGUACACACCGCCCGUCAAGCCUGAAAAGUCUGGUAGACCCUGUAGCUGGUGCUCCGCAACGAAGCGCAGUCCCGUGCGU
rnacentral:rRNA from 1 species